GCAGUCGAGCGCCCCGCAAGGGGAGCGGCAGACGGGUGAGUAACGCGUGGGAACAUACCCUCCGGUUCGGAAUAACUCAGGGAAACUUGAGCUAAUACCGGAUACGCCCUUACGGGGAAAGAUUUAUUGCUGAAGGAACGGCCCGCGUCGGAUUAGCUUGUUGGUGAGGUAAUGGCUCACCAAGGCGACGAUCCGUAGCUGGUCUGAGAGGAUGACCAGCCUCACUGGGACUGAGACACGGCCCAGACUCCCACGGGAGGCAGCAGUGGGGAAUCUUGCGCAAUGGUCUAACGACUGACGCAGCGACGCCGCGUGUGGGAGGACGCCUUUCGGGGUGUAAACCACUGUUGCCCGGGACGAACAGCCCUUUUCGAGGGGUCUGACGGUACCGGGUGAGGAAGCACCGGCUAACUCCGUGCCAGCAGCCGCGGUAAUACGGAGGGUGCGAGCGUUGUCCGGAAUCAUUGGGCGUAAAGGGCGCGUAGGUGGCGCAGCAAGCGUGCGGUGAAAGCUCGGGGCUCAACCCCGAGUCGGCCGUGCGAACUGCUGGGCUCGAGCACUGUAGAGGCAGGCGGAAUUCCGGGUGUAGCGGUGGAAUGCGUAGAGAUCCGGAAGAACACCGGUGGCGAAGGCGGCCUGCUGGGCAGUAGCUGACACUGAGGCGCGACAGCGUGGGGAGCAAACAGGAUUAGAUACCCUGGUAGAAUCACUAGUGAAUUC
rnacentral:rRNA from 1 species